GGGUUCGUAGCUCAGUGGGAGAGCACCUGCUUGACGCGCAGGGGGUCGUGCGUUCAAUCCGCACCGAACCCACCA
rnacentral:tRNA from 1 species